rnacentral:miRNA from 1 species
CUAAGUUGAUUGUGUUUAUGACGUCGAAUAUCGACGUCAUAAACACCAAAGUUGAUCGUGUUUAUGACGUCGAAUAUCGACGUCAUAAACACCAAUU